rnacentral:lncRNA from 1 species
CUGGAAGGUAAGUAACACAGCCGGGUCCUGGAAGGUAAGUAACACAGCCGGGUCCUGGAAGGUCAGUAACACAGCCAGGUCCUGGAAGGUCAGUAACACAGCCGGGUCCUGGAAGGUCAGUAACACAGCCGGGUCCUGGAAGGUCAGUAACACAGCCGCGUCCUGGAAGGUCAGUAACACAGCCGCGUCCUGGAAGGUAAGUAACACAGCCAGGCCCUGGAAGGUAAGUAACACAGCCAGGCCCUGGAAGGUAAGUAACACAGCCGGGUCCUGGAAGGUCAGUAACACAGCCAGGCCCUGGAAGGUCAGUAACACAGCCGCGUCCUGGAAGGUCAGUAACACAGCCGGGCCCUGGAAGGUCAGUAACACAGCCAGGCCCUGGAAGGUAAGUAACACAGCCGGGCCCUGGAAGGUAAGUAACACAGCCAGGCCCUGGAAGGUAAGUAACACAGCCGGGUCCUGGAAGGUCAGUAACACAGCCAGCUCCGGGAAGGUAAGUAACACAGCAACACAGCCAGAUCCUGGAAGGUAAAUGUAACGGACCGUUUUGCCCACAAGAGGUUAAAAACCGUUUAGGCGAUAUUCCCCCUUUUCAGCUGCACAGACAGCUACUGCAAGCACCAAUCUCCCGAACUGCAAACCCACAAAUUUACCAACUCCCGAACUGCAACCAAGGGAAUACUCGAAACUCCCGAACUGGAACCUCACGAAUAGCUGCUAGCAGACGAACAGGAAAAGCCCACAAGCGGCUUACACUCCUGGCAAUCAGUCUCUAACAGCAUACAGUAAAUCCUCCCCCCAAUAAUGAGAUGACACUUCACUUUGAGGGUUAAGCAGGAACUUAUUUACAGGGGCUAACUGCCCGGCUUUUAUGAAGGUCUCCCACCUGGUGGACACUCCCCUAGGGGAACAAAUGGGAUACUGGGACACAAAGGGUAAAAGGACCAAUCACAGACUUACACAUUUCAACCAUCCCACAAUGCAUCACAAUCCCUCCUCUCUGCCCUGGAGAUAAUUGGAAGUAAUUCAAUUAUCUCCAAAGACAGAGGCAAAACUCCAUUAACCACAUGGCAGAAAACAAACAGUAAAAGACAUAAAAUUACCUACAGUUACAUUCAGUACAUAAAACAUAUAUGUUCUACAUAUCCCCAGAUAGCUCAGGUCUGAGAGCACAUUAUUAUGCGAAUGGCGCUCAGACCACACGAAUACAGUUUAAUCGCCAUGGAGCCAAAGUCUUUACACAGUCAGUUUCAUGCGAAUGGACUCCAUGGGAUUCCUAUCUGGGGCACAACACACUCAAAACUACCGAACACCGGGCCGUUUGUGCACUUUCACCGAACAAGAAGGGAGGUCGGCGGCUUCAGCAGUGUUCGCGCAAAACUGUGUCCGAUUUCAGUUCCAUGAAUUAAGCGUCGAACACCGCUGUGCAUUCGCAUGUUUAAAAUGGCCGCGACCUCGUGUUCGUGAAACGAAUGGCGGCCACCCAGCAUUCGUCAAUUAAGCUGCGGUUAACCGCAGCUUCAGGGAGGUUAAUUGCCGGCACACUCCAGCUCCCAAGUGGUCUAUUCAUUCGUGCGGUUGUUCGGUAGAUUGAAACUACCGAACACCCGGCAGAAAAGCACGAAUAAGUCUUUUCUGCAGGGAAAAAAUAUGUCUUUUUAACAUGGGGCCAUAGUCCAAAGGCAGCAGGCAAGCAACCAGGCUUCUCCAGUGUACAGUGGCAAGGUUGGUUUUGCCACAGUAAGUAACACAGCCGGGUCCUGGAAGGUAAGUAACACAGCGACACAGCCAGGUCCUGGAUGGUAAGUAACACAGCCGGGUCCUGGAAGGUAAGUAACACAACCAGGUCCUGGAAGGUAAGUAACAUAGCCAGGCCCUGGAAAGUAAAUAACACAGCGACACAUCCAGGUCCUGGAAGGUAAGUAACACAGCCAGGUCCUGAAAGGUAACUAACACAGCCAGGCCCUGGAAGGUAAGUAACACAGCGGCAGGUCCUGGAAGGUAAGUAACACGGCCAGGUCCUGGAAGGUAAGUAACACAGCCGGGUCCUGGAAGGUCAGUAACACAGCCAGUUCCUGGAAGGUCAGUAACACAGCCGGGUCCUGGAAGGUCAGUAACACAGCCAGGUCCUGGAAGGUAAGUAAGACAGCCAGGUCCUGGAAGGUAAGUAAGACAGCCGGGUCCUGGAAGGUAAGUAACGCAGCCGGGUCCUGGAAGGUAAGUAACGCAGCCGGGUCCUGGAAGGUAAAUAACACAGCCAGGUCCUGGAAGUUAAGUAACACAGCGACACAGCCAGGUCCUGGAAGGUAAGUAACACAGCCAGACCCUGGAAGGUAAAUAACACAGCCGGGUCCUAGCAGGUAAGUAACACAGCCAGGUCCUGGAAGGUAAGUAACACAGCCAGGCCCUGGAAGGUAAAUAACACAGCAACACAGCCAGGUCCUGGAAGGUAAGUAACACAGCCAGGUCCUGAAAGGUAACUAACACAGCCAGGCCCUGGAAGGUAAGUAACACAGCGGCAGGUCCUGGAAGGUAAGUGACGCAGCCAGGUCCUGGAAGGUAAGUAACACAGCCAGGUCCUGGAAGGUAAGUAACAUAUCCAGGCCCUGGAAGAUAAAUAACACAGCGACACAGCCAGGUCCUGAAAGGUAACUAACACAGCCAGGCCCUGGAAGGUAAGUGUAAUGGACCGUUUUGCACACAAGGGGUAAAAAACGUUUAGGCAAUCAUCCCCCUUUCCAGAGAUGCAGACACAGCUAUUGUAGAACACCAAACACAGAAACCGCCAAUAAGUGAAAGCUCCAAACUCCCGAAUGGCAUCUAAUAUAGCACUCCAAACACACGAACAGGAACCAUACGAAUCGCUGCUAGCAGAUGAAUAGGAAAAGCACCCAAGCGGCUUACACUCCUAGCAAUCAGUCUCUAUCAGCAUUCAGUAAAUCCCCCCAAAGACGAGACAAGGCUCCGUGUUGGGGGUCAAGCAGUGGUCUGUUUAAUGAGUGCUACCUGCCCAGUAUUUAUGCAGGUCUCCCACCUGGUGGACACUCCCCUAGGCGACCAAAUGGGAGACUGUGACAAAGGACAGACAAGUAGACAAUUAGGACACACAGUCACAUUAUAUUCCCACAAUGCAUCCUGGCUUCCUCCCCUCUGCCUUCGAGAUAAUUGAGAAGUAAUUCAAUUAUCUCCCAAGACAAAGGCAAAUCGCCAUUAUGCACGUGGGGAUACUAACACACGAAUUACUAUUAAAAUACACUAUGUGAGACACAUAACAUUAAAAAUAUACAUUUAACAUAUCCCCAGAUAGCUCAGGUCUGAGCGCACAUUAUUAAGCGAAUGGCGCUCAGACCACACGAAUACAGUUUAAUCACCAUGGAGCUAAAGUCUUUACACAGUCAGUUUCAUGCGAAUGGGCUCCAUGGGAUUCCUGGAAAGUAAGUAACGCAGCCAGGCCCUGGAAGGUAAGUAACACAGCCAGGUCCUGGAAGGUAAGUAACACAACAAGGUCCUGGAAGGUAAGUAACAUAGCAAGGUUCUGGAAGGUAAGUAACACAGCCAGGUCCUGAAAGGUAAGUAACACAGCCAGGCCCUGGAAGGUAAAUAACACAGCCAGGUCCUGGAAACUAACUAACACAGCAACACAGCCAGGUCCUGGAAGGUAACUAACACAGCCAGGUCCUGGAAGGUAACACAGCCAGGUCCUUGAAAGUAACUGACACAGCCAGGUCCUGGAAGGUAAGUAACACAGCCAGGUCCUGAAAGGUAAGUAACACAGCCAGGCCCUGGAAGGUAAGUAACACACCCAGGCCCUGGAAGGUAAAUAACACAGCAAGGUCCUGGAAGGUAAAUAACACAGCCAGGUCCUGGAAAGUAACUAACACAGCAACACAGCCAGGUCCUGGAAGGUAACUAACACAGCCAGGUCCUGGAAGGUAACACAGCCAGGUCCUGGAAAGUAACUGACACAGCCAGGUCCUGGAAGGUAAGUAAGACAGCCAGGCCCUGGAAGGUAAGUAACACAGCCAGGUCCUGGAAUGUAAGUAACACGGCCAGGUCCUGCAAGGUAAGUAAUAGAGUGAGGUCCUGUUAGGUAAAUAACACAGCAAGGUCCUGGAAGGUAAGUAAAACUAGUUUUACACUAUAGUUAGUGCAUUCACUAAGCUUAGGCACAUGGGACAUUUAGGGUUAAUGUUAGGGUUUAAAUUAGGGUUAGGAUUAGGGACAUGUUCAUAUUUUGUGAUAUUUCACAUUAGGGGAAUAUCACUAAAUUGUGAUUUCUCACACUUUAUUUAAACCCUUACCCCAAGGGUUAGGGUAAGAAUAGAGUGUGAGAGAGGUUAAAAAUCACUUACCUAACCUUAAUUUGAACCCUCACUUAACCCUAAAUGUCCCAUGUGCCUAAGCUUAGUGAAUGCACUAACUAUAAUGGAAGUGUAAAACUAGUAUUACUUANNNNNNNNNNNNNNNNNNNNNNNNNNNNNNNNNNNNNNNNNNNNNNNNNNNNNNNNNNNNNNNNNNNNNNNNNNNNNNNNNNNNNNNNNNNNNNNNNNNNGGUGGGUGGGUGUUAUAGGGGGCCGGUAGGUGGGUGGGUGGGUGUUACAGGGGGCCGGUAGGUGGGUGGGUGUUAUAGGGGGCCGGUAGGUGGGUGGGUGUUAUAGGGGGCCGGUAGGUGGGUGGGUGUUACAGGGGGCCGGUAGGUGCUCACCCGGUUGGUCGCCGCUCUCCAUGCUGAGUUUCCUCUCGAAGCUCCUCCCACUCUCUGACGUCGCUGAGCGGCCAAUCAGUGAGCAGUGCGGCCGCCGCCAUCUUUACUGCGGGUGUUCUAUCAAAAUCCCCCAACUCGUCACUUCCGGUGCACAUCCUCCACAGCCGGGUCCUGGAAGGUAAGUAAGACAGCCAGGCCCUGGAAGGUAAAUAACACAACCAGGUCCUGGAUGGUAAGUAACACAGCCAGGCCCUGGAAGGUCAGUAACAGCCGCGUCCUGGAAGGUCAGUAACAGCCGCGUCCUGGAAGGUAAAUAACACAACCAGGUCCUGGAUGGUAAGUAAGACAGCCAGGCCCUGGAAGGUAAAUAACACAACCAGGUCCUGGAUGGUAAGUAACACAACCAGGUCCUGGAUGGUAAGUAAGACAGCCAGGCCCUGGAAGGUCAGUAACAGCCGCGUCCUGGAAGGUAAGUAACACAGCCAGGUCCUGGAAGGUCAGUAACACGGCCGGGUCCUGGAAGGUCAGUAACAGCCGCGUCCUGGAAGGUAAGUAACACAGCCAGGCCCUGGAAGGUCAGUAACACGGCCGGGUCCUGGAAGGUCAGUAACAGCCGCGUCCUGGAAGGUAAGUAACACAGCCGGGUCCUGGAAGGUAAGUAACACAGCCGGGCCCUGGAAGGUAAG